UCGCAAGGAGGAGCACAUGAGUGGCCGCCGGGAGGAGGGGAAGAGCAGCAGGAUGCCAUGGCUAGAGGAGGCAGGCGAGCGAGAUGUGGACCGACGGAGUGGUUCGAUCUGUGAUCCAUUAUUGGUUGAGCGGAGCUGUGCAAAAAUAUGACAGUCAAAUUUUUGGUUGAUUGUCUGAGACAUGCUACAAAUAAUCUUUCUCAGGAAUUUGCUGCAACAGCAAUUACUGCCUGGUCAAGGGGAAACUAUGGGCAUGAUGCCAGUUGCAGAUCCGGAUGCAAUUCAUGCAUCUCCCACCUUUAUUACGAAGGAACUCACCAUUCAACUCAAAGAUGAUCUUGCAGCAGCUGUAAGUGACAGUAAGCAAUCACUACAUUUGAUCUGAAAAUCGUGGCCGUGUGCUCUAUUUCAGUAACUAUACGGGGAAUUCAGUUAGCAUUGUCAUAUUGAGUUUGAGUUUUUAAUAUAUUGU